rnacentral:misc_RNA from 1 species
AACAUCGCGCACCUGCGGGAACCUGCGGAAGGAUCAUUAAUGAUUGGUGGCUGUUGCUGACUAGUGUUUCUAGUAUGUGCACGCCACACCUUCAAUCCCACUUACACCUGUGCACCUUCUGUAUAGAUCUAUGUGGAUACGGAGAUAUGAAAGUUUGCGCUCUCGUACUCUGUUGAAGCAGUCUACUACGUUUUUUUACACACACACAAUAGUCAUUGAAUGUAUUUUUUAUUCUUAUGA